rnacentral:rRNA from 1 species
CCUACGGGUGGCAGCAGUGAGGAAUAUUGGUCAAUGGACGAGAGUCUGAACCAGCCAAGUAGCGUGAAGGAUGACUGCCCUAUGGGUUGUAAACUUCUUUUAUAUGGGAAUAAAAUGUUCCACGUGUGGGAUUUUGUAUGUACCAUAUGAAUAAGGAUCGGCUAACUCCGUGCCAGCAGCCGCGGUAAUACGGAGGAUCCGAGCGUUAUCCGGAUUUAUUGGGUUUAAAGGGAGCGUAGGUGGAUUGUUAAGUCAGUUGUGAAAGUUUGUGGCUCAACCGUAAAAUUGCAGUUGAAACUGGCAGUCUUGAGUGCAGGAGAGGUGGGCGGAAUGCGUGGUGUAGCGGUGAAAUGCUUAGAUAUCACGAAGAACUCCGAUUGCGAAGGCAGUUCACUGGACUGCAACUGACACUGAGGCUCGAAAGUGUGGGUAUCAAACAGGAUUAGAUACCCCAGUAGUC